GGCUUAUUCCGAGUGUUCAACCCAUAAACCAUAUAUUGCAACCCUUUACCACAUUUCCCGAUUUAACAACAUUUUUAGGAUAUGGCCAAACGUUUAUUUUAAUUCUAAAUAAAUCUCAACAUAUAUCAAAUAAUGUCAAAAUAAUACAUUAAGUCACGUGUUUACUUACCUCGGUGUAAAAUAUCGUAAUUUUGCACUUUACUCCCCUAUCUUUUCUUUUCCCCGUUUGAUAUACUCUUCACGUCUUUCUUGAUCUAUAAUAGCAAAUUUAACUCGUUUAAUAUUCACAUUUAUUAAAAUAAUCCACCACCUAACUUUUUUAAAAAAUUACAAUUUUGCCCCCAAACUUUUGCAUAAUUACACUUUUAUCCCCAAGCUCGGAAAUUAAACUUCAUCACUUAUUCUUAAGUUUUAUAACAUGCUGAACAUUUUUCCCUUCUAUGGAAACAUCAAAUUCCCACUCCAACACAUACUUUUGAAUAUUAAUUAUUUUUACCGAUUAUGUCUAUUUACCCGUUUUCGCUUAAAAUUGCUUAGCAAAAGUUGUUUAACAUAAUCUCUAGCUUCAUAUUCCAUCAUAAAACAGCAAAAUAAACACAUUUCACCUAUGGAUAUUUUUCCAAAUAUGAACCCUAACAUGAAUUAAUGGUAGAAUAAGCUAAACCAAGUUACCGGGACUCCAAAAAUACGAAGAACAUUAAAAACGAGGCUUAGAAUCACUUACUAUGGAGCUUGAAAGCUUAAAAACCCUAAAUAUGGCUUCCCCCUUGCUGAUUU
rnacentral:lncRNA from 1 species